rnacentral:lncRNA from 1 species
UCCGCGGACGCCUCGCUGGUAGUGGCAGGCGGUAGUGGUAGUGGCAGGCGGUGUCCUUAUGUCCGGUUGCGGUGGGCGUUGUGCUGUUCUAUUGCCGACGUGGAGCGAGACGUUGGUUGAGUUUGUGUGCGCGUGGAAGAAAAGGGUUUUGUAAGGGGGUAGCGGCGGUUGGAGUUGGGCGAGAGGGAGGAGGGAUGGCGGGUGCAAAGGUGCUGCCGGCGGGUAUUAGUCCUGGUGGAGUUAUGUGGCGGGUGGAGAGCAGUUUUCGGGACAUGCCGAGUAUCGAGUGUCACGUGUAGAUGUGUAUGCGGUUUUCUGCACCAACCUCACAACCACAUUCCCCCUCUUCCCGCCUCCCGGCGCCCACAGGGGGCCCCUGUCGCACUCACGUUCCUUGCACGUGGAAGUGGUACAUACAUACAUGCAUACAUACAUAUUUACACAGGUAAACCACAACACACGCGGCAACCGAGCUAGCUAGCCGCCAUCACGACCGCCACACGGGGGGCCCCGCCACACCCCCAGCUCACCUUAAGCCGACCGACGCCCGACUUUCCCCGCCGCCGCCGCCACCGCCACCCCUUCCUUCUCCGGAGGGGCGCCGCGGCUGCCCGCCUGACGUGGCGUACGUAGGCCGUACUCG